UACGUUCCGAAUUUAAUGUUUUUGUGACUUUAUUUUUAUUUUUAUUUUUCUUUUUCUUAAUGUUCUUUUUACCACUCGGGUCAUUAGAAACCUGGCGGUCCGUAGGUUUUAGAAAGGUGCCUUCCUUCCAAGAAACCUUAUCGCUAUUACUGACCUUAUUAAUUCUUUUAUUUUUUUGCAGCGAAGACGAAGCAGGACGAUCCCCCAAGGCGACAGCAGAUUCCCGGACAGCUGAUCCAAAGAACGCCUCCUUCAUCUGCCUCAUCUCAUAGAUCAUCCGGUUCAUCCCAUCUCCCAAUCUGUCCAGGGUAUUAAUGAUGGCGAGAUCCAGACCCACUCUGCUCUGAAAAUCACCAGUCACUCCACCCCCACACUCAUCAGGAGAAGCAGAAGCCGACACCAACUGAUCCACGUUCCUCACACCAGCAUCAUCAAGCAUUACAGAUGUAUUGGAAUCACAGGAAAUAAUUUCCUCAGAAUCCGAAUAAUCAGCCGUACAAAACAUGGUAGUCGAUAGAGGAGGACUCGCAGAAGCACGAGACAUCUCAACCUCAUCGGCCACCGGAAUACGCACACCCCUCACGGAGCCCGGACUAGAGUUUCUUCUAGGCAAUAUCGUAAUGGCAGUGUCUAGCCUUUCGAUGCUAGCGAUAGCCACUCGGUUCUCCACGCUCGCCGCAGACGUGGAGGCCAGCCCUUCGCAUGAUGCCGACCCGUGGGGGACAGGGACAAUACCCCCCACGUGUCGUUUCUCGG